rnacentral:tRNA from 1 species
GAGGCUUUAGCUUAAUUAAAGUGUCUGGGUUGCAUCCAGGAGUUGUGGGAUAAACCCCUGCAAGCCUUA